CAAUUGUUCUACUUUUAAGGUUUGUCAUAUUGAGAAAAUUGUCACUUUACUCGAGUACUACUGAUUAUAAUCAACGUGCAAUAGUCCAACACGUUCCGUGUUGGGAGAGAGAAUUCGUUUUGCCUCGAUUUAAAGAAGAAAUCCUAAUAAACAAAAUGAAAAUUCUUGUGAUGCAGUUCACCUUGAUCAUAGCCUUUGGUUUUGCAUGGCCGCCCACCAUAAUAAUUGUAACGUUCUUCAAUAUUUACGAC